GUCAAAGGUAAGGGUCAAUUGAUAAGUUAAAGCUAUUCCAGACAUAUUCCGAUGCUUCUUCAUCAUGGUGGAAGCUGCUUUUCACGGCGGAAGGGAGAGAUUCUCAUAAAGCAAAUGGGUAACUCAGCUUGAGAUGACCUGGAAUGGAGAUUGAGAGCCGGAUCUUCUUGUCCAACAUCAGCACCUGACCUCACAAACGCUCUACUGGAUGAACGGGCAAAAAUCCCCACAGAAACACCCAAAAACCUGUGGAAAUCCUUCCCAGGAGAGUGGAAGCCGUUAUAUCUGCAAAGGGGGCCAACUUCAUAUUACUGUCUAUGUAUUUAGAAUAUGAUGUCAUUAAAGUCCUGUUGGGGUAA